rnacentral:lncRNA from 1 species
AGAAAAUCAUUAUGACUUUAAUAAUAUUACUGGAUAGAUGAGAAUUAUAAAGAGCAAAAGUUUGAAAUGAGUUAUUAGAAUUAAUUAUAUUUUGACUUUUCUGAAGAUAUAUUUAACCAAAAAAAUUUAAAAAGUUUGUGUCUAAAGUUUAUACAUCAGGGCUGGGGAUUUAGCUCAGUGGUUCGGUGGCCUGCCUUGCAAGCACAAGGACCCGAGUUCAAUCCCCGGUACAAAAAAAAAUCUAAACAAAACAAAAUAAAGUUCAUACAUCAAUCCCCGGUACCAAAAAAAAAAAAAAAAAAAAAAGUUCAUACAAUUGAUUCUAUAAAUAUCUAAAUGUUCAAGAGAGAUUUUUAAUCAUAGAACUAGUGGAAGACACUUAAAAUAAGGUAAAUAUCUUGAAAUGUAUGGUUUACUCAUUGUAGAAGUUAACAUUCAUGCCAUUCAUCAUUAUUUCAAGAUUUUAAAUGGCAUUGGGUCUUCCUAGAACAGGAAAAUUCAGGCUGUCCUAAGGAUGAACUUAGGCAGGUACAAGUUGCUCAUCUGAUCAGUGCUUCACAUUCUGCCUUCCUUCUACUGAACUUUGUCGUUUAACUUCACUGGUUUUGGCCAGCCUCUAAUUUCUCUAACACAAAAACAUCAUUACAAGUGCUAGCAACAAGAAUCAAAGCAACAUAGGUUUGCCACAAAUAACACUAACCAGCUGGUUGUAGCCAAGUAUGUUCAGUAGGCUUUAAAACAUGGAGAAAUCUGGGGUAAAGACCGAAGAAGAUGGAGAAUUAAUGUGUCGGACGAUGUGGCUGAAAUCUAAGAGCGUCGUAGAGCAUGGUGACUUGUCAGAUCAAACAAUGGAGUUCCUAUUGCCAGUUUCUGAACCAAAGCAGAUCAUUACACAGGGACCAUUACAUAAUAAUGUUGAGCUGGGAAAAUCUAAUCAGAAGCAAAAAUUGAAGAUGACUGGACUCUCUAAGUCAUAAAAUCAUACUGCAUUUCUAGGAGUAAAGGACAAAUCUGCUUCUGGAACGAAACAUUAAGAAGAGCUGGAAGACAGUCGGGAAUUAUCCCUUUGAAGGCCCUGUGGCAGGGGAAUGCAAUGAGGUUAUUCAAAUAAAACUCUCUGAAGAAUAGCAGACUAUAGUCGAAUGUCUUUACUCUAAGACAUUUAAGUGUUAAAGGUGGAGCAGAGGUUUCUGGUUAUGGAAUAUUUAUAUAUGAGGCCAGGUGCUCUGCAGCACUCCC